rnacentral:lncRNA from 1 species
GAUCGGUGACCUCUAAGUAAAUAUUUGUAUUUCUUUUUCUUCAUUCCUUUUUUCUCUUCUUCUUCUUCUUAUUAAUUAUUGUAAGUUAAAUUAUUUUUUUAGAUAUUACAAAUUAUUUUUUUUAGAUAUUACUUAUGUUUAUGCAUUGUAAUUUAUGCAAAAACUCAAGACUCAUAUUUAUUAAAAAGUAUGUUAAUUUGGAAUGGAAUAAGGGAUUUAAUUCUUUCAAUUAAAAAUGAUUUUUUAAUUUAUAAAUUAAAGCCCCGGCUUAGGCCCAAUCUUUUUGCAAAAGCCCUUAACCAGGUCCCUCGGAGCGGGUUCAAACCCGCAGAGCUGGGGCCGACCUGAGGUUUUUUACCAACCCUAUUGGUGAGUAGUUUUCUCCUUGGCCGUAGCCUAAUAUAUCCUCUAGUGGUGAGCAAUUUUCAUCAAUCCGUUUUAUUUCUAGCCGACCUCAUGUGGUUGGACUACUCUGGCAUGCCAUUUGCUUGUUGGCAUCAUCUGUACUAUUGUUAGCUGAGCUUGAAAAAAUAUUCGACCUCAACAUAACUCUUCUAGAUGCAUUUCCUAACAAGAGUAGAGAUAUUUUCAUAAUUUCCGACUUCUUGUUGUGAAAAAUAUGAAUCCCCCGUUAAUUGUAAGGGUUUCUUUUUAACCACUUGUCUUUUUAGUGUGGGGCCCAAAUCAGGGCGAUCUAUGAUCUGGGCUUCCAAAAAAAAGUUUGUGUAUGGAUGUAGGGAUGACAAAAUUCGGAUCUGGAUCUGGAUCUGGAUGUAGGUGCACUCGAAUGACAAAAUUUGGAUUUGGAUCACAUUGAACAUUUGGCAUCCGGAUUUGUAAAAAAAUAUGCGGAUCUAGAUGUAGGAAAUAUUCGCACAGAUUGUAGGCAGAUUUAUCGGAUAUCCAGAUCCGCAAAAUAA